rnacentral:lncRNA from 1 species
AUUUAGCCCUAAAACUUAUCAGAAUUAGAAUCGUUCAUAAAACAACAUAUUAUACAAAGUAUUUAAUAGUAGACAAAAGAACCACUUGACUUAUUAUCUGAUUUUGCUAUAUUUUAACCAAUUUAUUAUUCCCUCAAUAUAAAGAUCCUACAGAACAUUUAAAACAUUUUCAUUAAACAAACAAAAUACUACAUAAACAAAAUCAGUUCAAGAAGAUCAAACACAAUGCUAUUAAAAUAUUAUUUGAGGC